rnacentral:rRNA from 1 species
AUGAUAGGGAGACGUCCUUCACCGAAUGCAAGUAAUCAAUUGAGGAAUCGACUACUGUUUCACUUUGUUGUUCUUGUGAUCUGCGGUAACGAGAACAAGUCGAGGGAAACACCAUUGAUGGCACGAGGAACCAUGGUACCCACCCUUUUGGUGCUGCUUCUGGCUAUUUUCUGCGCGACCACCGUCGUUCAGAGCAAGGAAUGGAAUGUCGGUCGCCAGGACGGAUGGUUCUUCAGCAUCUCCGAUUGGGGGGACGACAAGCCAAUCAAGGUCGGCGAUGUGCUUGUGUUCAAGUACAAGGCAAUUGCGCACAACGUGGUGCAGGUCUCAGAAGAAGACUACAACGCAUGCACGGUCUCUCGCCCAUCGCCGACCUACCGCUCCGGCAAUGACCACAUUAAGGUCACCAGCAGUGGCAGAUUCUUCUUCAUAUGUUAUGUGAAAACUCCUUUACACUGUGAGAAUGGCAUGAAGAUAGCCAUCACUGUCCAAUAG